GACGAACGCUGGCGGCGUGCUUAACACAUGCAAGUCGAACGGAAAGGCCCUGCUUUUGUGGGGUGCUCGAGUGGCGAACGGGUGAGUAACACGUGAGUAACCUGCCCUUGACUUUGGGAUAACUUCAGGAAACUGGGGCUAAUACCGGAUAGGAGCUCCUGCUGCAUGGUGGGGGUUGGAAAGUUUCGGCGGUUGGGGAUGGACUCGCGGCUUAUCAGCUUGUUGGUGGGGUAGUGGCUUACCAAGGCUUUGACGGGUAGCCGGCCUGAGAGGGUGACCGGCCACAAUGGGACUGAGAUACGGCCCAGACUCCUACGGGAGGCAGCAGUGGGGAAUAUUGCACAAUGGGGGGAAGCCUGAGGCAGAAACGCCGCGUGCGGGAAGACGGCCUUCGGGUUAUAAACCGCUUUCGGCUGUUACGAAGCGUGAGUGACGGUAAUGGGUAAAGAAGCACCGGCUAACUACGUG
rnacentral:rRNA from 1 species